GCAAAACGCGAAGAACCUUACCCACCUUUGACAUGUACGGAAUCCUUUAGAGAUAGAGGAGUGCUCGAAAGAGAGCCGUAACACAGGUGCUGCAUGGCUGUCGUCAGCUCGUGUCGUGAGAUGUUGGGUUAAGUCCCGCAACGGGCGCAACCCUUGCCAUUAGUUGCUACAUUUAGUUGAGCACUCUAAUGGGGACUGCCGGUGACAAACCGGAGGAAGGUGGGGAUGACGUCAAGUCCUCAUGGCCCUUAUAGGUGGGGCUACACACGUCAUACAAUGGCUGGUACAAAGGGUUGCCAACCCGCGAGGGGGAGCUAAUCCCAUAAAGCCAGUCGUAGUCCGGAUCGCAGUCUGCAACUCGACUGCGUGAAGUCGGAAUCGCUAGUAAUCGUGGAUCAGAAUGUCACGGUGAAUACGUUCCCGGGUCUUGUACACACCG
rnacentral:rRNA from 1 species